rnacentral:rRNA from 1 species
UACCUAGGAUGCAAGCGUUGUCCGGAUUUAUUGGGUUUAAAGGGUGCUUAGGCGGCUUAUUAAGUUAGUGGUGAAAACGUUCGGGUUAACCGGACACCCGCCAUUGAUACUGAUAGACUUGAGUGCGACAGAGGGUGUUGGAAUGUGUGGUGUAGCGGUGAAAUGCUUAGAUAUCACGCAGAACACCAAUUGCGAAGGCAGAUGCCUAUGUCGUAACUGACGCUGAGGCACGAAAGCGUGGGGAGCAAACAGG